rnacentral:rRNA from 1 species
UGGAAGUAAAAGGUAACAAGGUUUCCGUAGGUGAACCUGCGGAAGGAUCAUUA